UACGGAAGGUCCAGGCGUUAUCCGGAUUUAUUGGGUUUAAAGGGAGCGUAGGCUGUUUCUUAAGCGUGUUGUGAAAUGUAGAUGCUUAACAUCUGAAUUGCAGCGCGAACUGGAAGACUUGAGUGCGCGGAAGGUAGGCGGAAUUCGUCGUGUAGCGGUGAAAUGCUUAGAUAUGACGAAGAACUCCGAUUGCGAAGGCAGCUUACCGCAGCGCCACUGACGCUGAUGCUCGAAGGUGCGGGUAUCGAACAGGAUUAGAUACCCUGGUAGUCCGCACAGUAAACGAUGGAUGCUCGCUGUCCGGCCUUUACGGCCGUGUGGCCAAGCGAAAGCGUUAAGCAUCCCACCUGGGGAGUACGCCGGCAACGGUGAA
rnacentral:rRNA from 1 species